rnacentral:lncRNA from 1 species
GCUUUUCUUGUAAUGGCUCUCUGCUUGAUCGUGGACCUAGUAUAUCUUCUCAUGAUAAAGUGGUCUUUCUAGCUACACUCGAUCGCUUCUAUUUGAUAGAGUAGCUAAAGGUUUAGGAAUGGGCCAGGGCUUGCAAUAUUGAUGCAUAACUACCUUCUCUUUAGUUCUUUAUUUAUUUUUUCAAAUGUGUGUGUGCAUGUUUUUGUUGGGGGGACGAGGAGGGACUUGCACACAUGUAUUAUAACUAUCUAGAUUCUGAUUUUUGUAUUCUUAAUUUCUAAAUUUUUUUUUUCUUGUAGGUUGCUGAUACUUCUACUCGUAGAGAUGAUGAUGCCGUCGACCCUUGAUACAUCGUAGACUGUUUAUUUAGGAGUUUGAUAUGUAUGUUUUUAAUAUUUUUAAAGUACAAUGUAAUCAAAUAUUAUAAUAUAAUUAGUAAUUAAUAAAAAAAAUUUUGUUUGUGAUGUGACUUUUGUGAUGUGAUAAUAGGUUG